ACUCAAUUCUCGGGUCUCCAGGAUCAUGCCCUGGGCCAAAGGGCCAAAGGCGGUGCUAAACCGCUGAGCCACCUGGGCUACCCUACAAAAUAUUUAAUAAAGAGAAGCACAUGGACUAACACAGUAGUGUAGGCAGUAUAAUGACAUCCCCCCAAGACUUAAGUGCCCUAAUCCCCAGGACCUGUAGUUACAUGGCAAUUGGAAUUAAGGUUGCUAAUUAGCUAAGAGUAUUAACUGGGUAGGCCCAAAGUGAUCAAAGUGUCCUUAAAAGUGGAAGAGGAGGACAGAAAAAGAGAGAGAUGCAGUGACCAAAGAAAGGUCUGAAAGAGGCUAUGUUGCUGGAUGUGGAGAUGGAAGAAGGGGACCAGAGCCAAGGAAUCAAAGCAUGUGUGGCUUAUUCUCAACAUUCCUGAAACCACCAGCAACUGCUGAAAGCCCGCCUCUUCUCUGCUUCUCUGCCAGUUCUCCAACAGAGUCACAACCACUGACCCAAAAGCUUCACUGUGGGGGGUGGAAAUCCCUCUGUCAUUCAUGAGGAUGUCUGACACUCUCAGGACACCAUGAGAAGACUGUCACCUAUGAGCUACGAAGUGGGCUCCAGACGGGCCCACACCAUUGAUCUUGUACUUGCCAGCCUCCAGAAUUGUAAGAAGUAAAGGUGUGCAUUUAAACCACCCAGUCUGGGAC